rnacentral:piRNA from 1 species
UNGGUUGCUAAGUUAUUCCUGUGCCUGUC